rnacentral:misc_RNA from 1 species
GAUGAAGAACGUAGCGAAAUGCGAUAAGUAGUGUGAAUUGCAGAAUUCAGUGAAUCAUCGAAUCUUUGAACGCACAUUGCGCCCGGUAGUAUUCUGCCGGGCAUGCCUGUUCGAGCGUCAUUUCAACCAUCAAGCCCCAGCGCUUGUGUUGGGGGCCUGCGGCUGCCGCAGCCCCCUAAAAGCAGUGGCGGGCUCGCUAUCACACCGAGUGCAGUAGUUCAUCUUCUCUCCGGUCUUGUGAGGCGGGUUCCGGCCGUGAAACACCCCACUACAUUCAAGGUUGACCUCGGAUCAGGUAGGAAUACCCGCUGAACUUAAGCAUAUCAAUAAGCGGAGGA